rnacentral:tRNA from 1 species
GGCCUGAUAGCUCAACUGGUAGAGCACUGCACCAGCAUUGCAGAGGUCAGGGUUAGAAUCUCCGAAAUUUUCAGGCCU